UACGAAGGGGGCUAGCGUUGCUCGGAAUCACUGGGCGUAAAGGGUGCGUAGGCGGGUCUUUAAGUCAGGGGUGAAAUCCUGGAGCUCAACUCCAGAACUGCCUUUGAUACUGGCGAUCUUGAGUUCGGGAGAGGUGAGUGGAACUGCGAGUGUAGAGGUGAAAUUCGUAGAUAUUCGCAAGAACACCAGUGGCGAAGGCGGCUCACUGGCCCGAUACUGACGCUGAGGCACGAAAGCGUGGGGAGCAAACAGG
rnacentral:rRNA from 1 species